CCUACGGGGGGCAGCAGUGGGGAAUAUUGGACAAUGGGGGAAACCCUGAUCCAGCAAUGCCGCGUGAGUGAAGAAGGCCCUAGGGUUGUAAAACUCUUUCACCCGUGAAGAUGAUGACGGUAGCGGGAGAAGAAGCUCCGGCUAACUCCGUGCCAGCAGCCGCGGUAAUACGGAGGGGGCUAGCGUUGCUCGGAAUUACUGGGCGUAAAGCGCGCGUAGGCGGCGCACCAAGUGAGGCGUGAAAUCCCCGGGCUUAACCCGGGAACUGCGUUUCAUACUGGUGUGCUAGAAUCCGAGAGAGGGUAGUGGAAUUCCCAGUGUAGAGGUGAAAUUCGUAGAUAUUGGGAAGAACACCAGUGGCGAAGGCGGCUACCUGGCUCGGUAUUGACGCUGAGGUGCGAAAGCGUGGGGAGCGAACAGGAUUAGAUACCCUUGUAGUC
rnacentral:rRNA from 1 species